CCGUCUAGUAAACAAUAAUAGGGUUUUUUUGUCCAGCUAACUUUUGAAACCUAUAUUCCUUAAGACUUUGUUUUGGAAGAAGUAAAGGUAUGCAUCCCUACCUUAGAAUAUUUUUCUUAAUGCUAAUGUUAGCUGGUGUUGGACGACUGAACACAUUAGCACCAUUGGUUGGCUUGUACUCGUGGCUUUUCCUACCAGUGGUUAUAAAGAAAUUCUUGAGUCUUAUAGGAUUCAGGCAAGUUGGGAUCGCCCGUGGCACUCUAGCGUCGUUUCUUCGGUCUAGAUCUGAAAUGUACGGGGUCGGUAGAAGGAUCGUCGGUACCUUGCAGUCCAUCGGCAUGUCUAGGAUCAGAUUCAAGUCGCGGGUACGCGGUGCCAUGGCUGGGAGCAUAGUGCUAGUACUGGUGAACUUUGUUAUUGGAAGUUUCUUCCCCGACGCCAUCGUUAAAGAAUGGACAUCAGGGGAACUUCCGAUCAUUGAUGGUGGACGAAAUGCUAGUGAAAAAUGAAAGCGCUGAUGCGCAAUUGUAUAGCCGCGGGUAGUUGUCUGGUUAGGUAAUUCUGUAACUGUCUACACUUAAAUACUGUUGCUACCUGGAUAAAUGCUAAUGCUACCCGGUUCGACACUGCUGCUACCAAGUUAGAUAUGGCUACCACCUGGUUUAAUACUGCAGCAGUAAACUUGUAAAGUUUUGUCCUCAAAACCCAGUUGAAAAAGAGUGUGAUGAUGUAUAGAGUACCAAAUAGCAAUCAUUUCGUUCGUAUUUCUUCUUAAUUAUUCUUAAUUUUAGUGUUGGAAUGGAUUCCUUCCAAUAUAAUUUACGUAUAUGUGUCAACUGGUAACGCGCCGAUUUUCUUCAAAGUUCUUUCAAAGUCGUAAUGAGACAAAAGUUAUAGCUAAUAGGGCUGGUAAGUAGGUCACCAACCAGUUCUACGGCUCUUACAUGACAGUUUACUUUAUCUAGUUAUUACUGGUGUGGAAGAUGU